GGUAGUCCACGCGGUAAACGAUGGUCACUAGGUGUGGGGGGUAUCGACCCCCUCCGCGCCGCCGCUAACGCAUUAAGUGACCCGCCUGGGGAGUACGGCCGCAAGGCUAAAACUCAAAGGAAUUGACGGGGGCCCGCACAAGCAGCGGAGCGUGUGGUUUAAUUCGACGCAACGCGAAGAAUCUUACCAGGGCUUGACAUGGCCGGAAAAGCCAUCGAAAGGUGGUGUGCCCGCAAGGGCGUCGGUUACAGGUGCUGCACGGCUGUCGUCAGCUCGUGCCGUGAGGUGUUGGGUUAAG
rnacentral:rRNA from 1 species